rnacentral:misc_RNA from 1 species
ACAAACUUGGUCAUUUAGAGGAAGUAAAAGUCGUAACAAGGUUUCCGUAGGUGAACCUGCGGAAGGAUCAUUACAAAUCCGUUCCACGUCUCUCUCCCGAGACCACGUUGAAAUGUGCGCGUGCGCGUGUGUGGCUGGUCGGCCGGUCGGUCGGUUGGGUUCACACCCGUACCGGACCGUGCCGUACCGCUCCUCUGUGCCGUGCAUCAUCCGUGUGAGCACGCGGUAGCGCGGCGGCAGCGGGGGCGCUCGCUCGCCCUGCUGUCCGUCCGUCGCCGCCCGUGUCUCUACGCCGAACGAGUUGAUAUUGUUGUCCAAGUGUAUUGUGUUUUCGAACCUCAGUACAACUUAUAACAAUGGAUCUCUAGGCUCUUGCAUCGAUGAAGAACGCAGC